rnacentral:rRNA from 1 species
GACGAACGCUGGCGGCGUGCUUAACACAUGCAAGUCGAACGGUGAAGCUCCAGCUUGCUGGAGUGGAUCAGUGGCGAACGGGUGAGUAACACGUGAGCAACCUGCCCCAGACUCUGGAAUAAGCGCUGGAAACGGCGUCUAAUACUGGAUACGAGAUCAAGCCGCAUGGUUAUGGUCUGGAAAGUUUUUCGGUUUGGGAUGGGCUCGCGGCCUAUCAGCUUGUUGGUGAGGUAAUGGCUCACCAAGGCGACGACGGGUAGCCGGCCUGAGAGGGCGACCGGCCACACUGGGACUGAGACACGGCCCAGACUCCGACGGGAGGCAGCAGUGGGGAAUAUUGCACAAUGGGCGAAAGCCUGAUGCAGCGACGCCGCGUGAGGGAUGACGGCCUUCGGGUUGUAAACCUCUUUCAGCAGGGAAGAAGCGAAAGUGACGGUACCUGCAGAAGAAGCACCGGCUAACUACGUG